CGGUUUCUUCCCAGCCAACAAGGUCUGCAGUGGCGGGAUGGGGAGGAUGAUGUUAUAAUUCAACGUUAGAUCAAGUUUGAUCAACGUCCCCCUGCUGGCCCAAUUGGAUGAACCUUAUUCACAAUAAGAUCCGCUUCUCGCUCCACCACCAUCUUUGAGAUAAGUCUUUGCCUUUUCCCCUCUCAACGGCAUAAGAUUCGCUCUGCUGCAGUUCCGCUCGCACCUCAACGUACCUGUAGUAUAUCACUGGUAGCACACAGUGAGAGCUGCUUACACAUCUGGCGGAUUUUCUGUGCGCAUAGGCUUGUGUACAUGGUUUUCCUAUAUCAGAUUCGUCUGAGGAGUUAAAUUCAGAGGCCGGAGAAAAUGAGGCAACGCGUAAUAGCCAUUGUCCUUUUUUUGUUGUGGCUUUUUGGGAAAUCGCAUGGAGCGUUUCCAAACCAGAUAAAUAUUGGUGGUCUCUUUAUGCGCUCUACAGUGCAGGAGCACAGCGCUUUCAGAUUCGCUGUCCAGCUGUAUAAUACCAAUCAAAAUGUGACGGAAAAACCUUUCCAUCUCAAUUACAAUGUAGACAAUCUCGAAUCCUCGAACAGCUUCUCCGUCACACAUGCGUUCUGCUCCCAGUUCUCCAGAGGAGUGUACGCCAUCUUCGGCUUCUACGACCAGAAGUCCAUGAACACGCUAACCUCGUUCUGUGGGGCUCUGCACACCUCCUUCAUCACACCCAGCUUCCCCGCCGAUGCCGACGUGCAGUUUGUCAUCCAGAUGAGGCCUCCUCUACGGGGAGCUGUCCUCAGCCUGCUGGCCCACUACAAGUGGGAGAAGUUUGUCUACCUCUACGACACUGAGAGGGGUUUCUCUAUCCUCCAGGCCAUCAUGGAGUCAGCGGUGGCCAAUAACUGGCAGGUUACGGCCCGGUCGGUGGGCAGCAUAGUAGACCCUACAGAGUACAAACGCAUCAUAGAGGAGAUGGACCGUAGGCAGGAGAAACGCUUCCUCAUCGACUGUGAAGUGGGAAGAAUCAAUGCCAUCCUGGAUCAGGUAGUGACCCUGGGGAAGAACAGCAGAGGCUACCACUACAUCCUGGCUAACCUGGUUUCACUGCAGGGCUUCGCUAACAUGACCCUGGACAAGGUGUUUGCUGGAGGAGCCAAUAUAACAGGCUUCCAGAUCAUCAACCCAGAGAACCCAAUAGUCAUACAAUUCCUCCAGCGCUGGGAACGCUUAGACGAGAGGGAGUUUCCUGAGGCUAAGGGCACUCCACUGAAGUACACGUCAGCGCUGACCCAUGACGCCGUGUUGGUACUGGCAGAGGCCUUCCGGUACCUGCGGAGGCAGAGGGUGGACGUGUCCCGGAGGGGGAGCGCUGGGGACUGCCUGGCCAACCCAGCCGUACCUUGGAGCCAAGGCAUUGACAUAGAGAGAGCACUCAAAAUGGUCCAGGUACAAGGUAUGACAGGGAAUAUCCAGUUUGACUCGUUUGGUCGGAGAGCCAACUACAGCGUCGAUGUGUAUGAGAUGAAAGUAGGGGGGCCCAAGAAGACCGGGUACUGGAAUGAAUACGAAAAAUAUGUAUUUAUUGUGGAUGCGCAGGUCACCAACGAGUCCUCUUCUGUGGAAAACCGAACGAUUGUGGUCACUACUAUUAUGGAGUCUCCUUAUGUGAUGUACAAGCGAAACUACUUGUCGCUGGAGGGGAAUGACAGAUAUGAAGGCUACUGUGUCGAUUUAGCUGCUGAAAUUGCAAAACAUGUGGGGAUAAGAUACAAACUGUCAGUAGUUGCGGACGGGAAGUAUGGUGCAAGGGAUCCAGAGACCAAGACGUGGAAUGGGAUGGUGGGUGAACUGGUAUAUGGGAGAGCCGAUAUAGCAGUGGCUCCUCUAACUAUAACAUUGGUACGAGAGGAGGUGAUAGACUUCUCUAAGCCUUUUAUGAGCCUGGGGAUCUCCAUUAUGAUAAAGAAGCCUCAAAAGUCAAAGCCGGGCGUGUUCUCCUUCCUGGACCCGCUGGCCUAUGAGAUCUGGAUGUGUAUAGUGUUUGCCUAUAUCGGCGUGAGCGUGGUGCUCUUCCUGGUCAGCCGCUUCAGUCCCUAUGAGUGGCAUCUGGAUGAAAACGACGAGGCCAAAGACCCCCAGAGCCCUCCAGACCCACCAAACGACUUUGGGAUUUUUAAUAGCCUGUGGUUCUCCCUGGGCGCCUUCAUGCAGCAAGGAUGCGAUAUCUCGCCAAGGUCUCUGUCGGGCAGAAUCGUGGGGGGUGUGUGGUGGUUCUUUACCCUCAUCAUCAUCUCCUCCUACACGGCCAACCUGGCUGCCUUCCUCACAGUGGAGAGGAUGGUGUCUCCCAUAGAGAGUGCUGAGGACCUGGCCAAGCAGACAGAGAUUGCCUACGGGACCCUAGACUCAGGCUCCACUAAGGAGUUCUUUAGGCGCUCCAAAAUAGCAGUUUAUGAAAAAAUGUGGUCUUACAUGAAAUCAGCUGAACCGUCAGUGUUCGCCAAGACCACACCAGAAGGGGUUGCCCGAGUGCGAAAGUCGAAAGGCAAAUUUGCCUUUCUUCUUGAAUCCACAAUGAACGAGUACAUUGAGCAGCGGAAACCUUGUGACACCAUGAAAGUUGGCGGCAACCUCGACUCUAAGGGAUACGGUGUGGCCACACCUAAAGGCUCAGCAUUAAGAAAUGCUGUUAACCUGGCAGUGUUAAAACUGAAUGAGCAAGGCCUCUUGGACAAAUUGAAAAACAAAUGGUGGUACGACAAGGGAGAGUGCGGCAGCGGGGGAGGUGACUCCAAGGUCAGCCUCAAUGUCACCAAAGUCGGGUAUCGUAGAAUAGAGUAAUCGGCAAGGCUGUUAUAUCACUACUGUAACCUAUAGGCCCAAACCACAGCUCACUAUGGCCCUGUAACAGAAAACUGUGCGGCUUUUUCUAUUUUAUUGUGCAACUGAGAUCAAACUGGGAACCCUUUACUUGGCUAAUGGAGGAAAAAGAACAGUAACAAUGAAGAUAUUUCUGAGAAAAAGACGAGGUAUUUGUUUACUGUACGUACAGAAGAAGAGAGGAAGAGUUGAAGCUGAUUAUUAUUCCUGAUGGUAGUUAAGUACAUCCACUGUGGUAAGAUAGCAUGUGAGACCUCUUUUGGGAAGUUAGUGUUCUGUUCUACAGCAGGGCUGUUUAGUGAGAUAUUUCUUGAAUUUCUCCAGAGACUUUUUAGUUUAGGUCUUUGCCCUGUGGUUGUGAAAGGCAGAAUGUACAGAAGGGGUGAUUGUACAUUUCCUCUGCUUUUUAUGUCCACAGGGCAAACAUGGUGGAAUUAUAAUGCUCUCUUUCACUUAGACGUACUUUCACUUUUCACUGAAAGUGGAUGAAUAAUUUGUCAUUUAUGUUGAGUGAAGUAUUGAGUAAGAGAAUAACAUGGCGGUGUCCAUGAACCCUAGCACCGAGGUGUACGGUAGCACUCUCCAAACUGCCUCAACCUUGGGUGCUAGGACAGGCGAGGCGAACAGCGUAGUCUUGAGGGGACUAAGCAUUGCAGGCAAACGUGAGAAUUCUAAUGACAAAGUGACACCAAAUGUUCCAAACUUUUGUCUGAUACCAAUAACAUCACUGUAAACCAGUGUUAGCUUGUCACCCUGACAGAUUCCUUUGGUUGGUCUUAGUCUCCAAGACCAGUCAAAGUCUACCUACCCAUGGCCGGCCCUGCCCCGACCAAUGAAACGCUGCAAGAGGGUGGAAAAUAUGACCUUAUCUUGGGGUUCAGAACACGAGGGCACAGCGACAACCCGACUGUGGAUCCGUCUCUGUCUCUACACUUCUGCUUGCAUCUUGACCACAGUACACUUGACACAUUGUAGAAGACCAGGCAGACUGACUUUGAUGUUGUUGACUCUAGUUAUUCAUUCCUGAGCGUAAGCAGGACAUGAAUACUAUCAGCAGAGCCACACAAAGCAGCUGCCUCGUCCUGCAAGCAAUCUGCCUUGAAUCCUUGGUAGAGAGAGGGUAGACUCAGCCAUGUUAUAUCGCACCUGCUACAUUUCUGGUUUAUUCUUUUAUUCCUAAAAAUGCAUGUGUUGGUACUUUAACAAUGUGCUUCAAAUAUAUUGUAUGUAAUAACCACUGAGAGAGGAAAACCCAAUAUAUUCUAGACACACAGCUUCUAAAAACACUAUAAAUAUAACUCAAUCUGACAUUGGCAAAUGAAUCUCUAAUUAUACUACAAAUACCAAUGGGAAUUAGCUCACAAAUGAAAGUAGGCUACGUUUUCCUCAUAUUUAGCACAUACAGUUGAAGUCGGAAGUUUACAUACACUUAGGUUGGAGUCAUUAAAACUCGUUUUUCAACCCCUCCACAAAUUUCUUGUCAACAAACUCUAGUUUUGGCAAGUCGGUUAGGACAUCUACUUUGUGCAUGACACAAAUAAUGAUUCCAACAAUUGUUAACAGACAUAUUAUUUCACUUAUAAUUCACUGUAUCAAAAUUCCAGUGGGUUUACAUACACUAAGUGGACUGUGCCUUUAAACAGCUUGGAUAAUUACAGAAAAUGAUGUCAUGGCUUUAGAAGCUUCUGAUAGGGUAAGUGACAUAAUUUGAGUCAAUUGGAGGUGUACCUGUGGAUGUAUUUCAAGGCCUACCUUCAAACUCAGUGCCUCUUUGCUUGACAUCAUGGGAAAAUCAAAAUAAAUCAGCCAAAACCUCAGAAAAAAAUUGUAGACCUCCACAAGUCUGGUUCAUUAUUGGGAGCAAUUUCCAAACGCCUGAAGGUACCACGUUCAUCUGUACAAACAAUAGUAUGCAAGUAUAAACACCAUGGGACCACGCAGCCGUCAUACCGCUCAGGAAGGAGACGCGUUCUGUCUCCUAGAGAUGAACAUACUUUGGUGAGAAAAGUGGAAAUCAAUGAUGCUGGAGGAAAAAGGUACAAAGGUAUCUAUAUCCACAGUAAAACGAGUCCUAUAUCUACAUAACCUGAAAAGCCGCUCAGCAAGGAAGAAGCCACUGCUCCAAAACCGCCAUAAAAAAGCCAGAUCAUACUUUUUGGAGAAAUGUCCUCUGGUCUGAUGAAACAAAAAUAGAACUGUUUGGCCAAAAUGACCAUCGUUAUGUUUGGAGGAAAAAGGGGAGGCUUGCAAGCCGAAGAACACCAUCCCAACCGUGAAGCACGGGGGUGGCAGCAUCAUGUUGUGGGGGUGCUUUGCUGCAGGAGGGACUGGUCCACUUCACAAAAUAGAUGGCAUCAUGAGGGAGGAUAAUAUUGUGGAUAUAUUGAAGCAACAUCUCAAGACAUCAGUCAGGAAUAGAAAAUUUGUGGGCAGAACUGAAAAAGCGUGUGAGAGCAAGGAAGUCUACAAACCUGACUCGGUUACACCAGCUCUGUCAGGAGGAAUGGGCCAAAAUUCACCCAACUUAUUGUGGGAAGCUUGUGGAAGGCUACCCGAAACGUUUGACCCAAGUUAAACAAUUUAAAGGCAUUGCUACCAAAUACUAAUUGAUUGUAUGUAAACUUCAGACCCACUGGGAAUGUGAUGAAAGAAAUAAAAGGUGAAAUAAAUAAUUCUCUCUACUAUUAUUCUGACAUUUCACAUUCUUAAAAUAAAGUGGUGAUCCUAACUGGCCUAAAACAGGGAAUUUUUACUAGGAUUAAAUGUCAGGAAUUGUGAUAAACUGGGUUUAAAUGUAUUUGGCUAAGGUGUAUGUAACUUUCCAACUUCAACUGUAUACUCAAGGAAAUUUCAUACAGCAGGUUAAGAACUGGAACUAGUAACUAUUUGUGAAAAAUAUACUUGGAUGUAUGAGAAUCAGGCGGUGUAAAGACAUAAUUUACUCCUCCAUGGGUAAAUCAUGUUUCUUCUGUGUAUCAUUUUUUCUCAGUUGUGCAUCUUUUGUCCUCAUCUUUUGUUUUGAUGUUAUUUUAUAUUUUGCAUGAACUGUUCAUACUGUGUAUUUUGAUUUGAUAGUUUUGUCUUUGUGUAUGUUUUGGGAGUGUUCUGUUUGCAUUGUUUUCCAGUUCUUGUUUUGUCACAUCAACAUAUCAUAAACCACACAUAUGAUAAGCACUCCUGAAUCAUAGUUGGUGGUAACAGUGACAUAGUCCAUAGACCUCCCCCACCACAGACAUUGAAAUUAUACUCUCAAGAAAGAACUGAACGUUGCUUUUUUUACUUUGCUCCUCCUUGUUGUUGGACUGGAUCAAGACUGGAUGGGUCCCAGCAUGUCUACCUAGCAGCCAGCAGAAAUCACAGGCACAAGAACUCCUGUAAACCUUGCCGUAUUGAAACUCAGUGAACAAGGCAUCUUAGACAAGCUGAAAAACAAAUGGUGGUACGAUAAGGGUG